UACGUAGGGGGCAAGCGUUGUCCGGAAUCAUUGGGCGUAAAGCGCGCGUAGGCGGCCCGGUAAGUCCGUUGUGAAAGUCAAAGGCUCAACCUUUGAAUGCCGACGGAUACUGCCGGGCUAGAGUACGAAAGAGGCGAGUGGAAUUCCUGGUGUAGCGGUGGAAUGCGCAGAUAUCAGGAGGAACACCAAUGGCGAAGGCAGCUCGCUGGGACGGUACUGACGCUGAGACGCGAAAGCGUGGGGAGCAAACAGG
rnacentral:rRNA from 1 species